AGCAGCCGCGGUAAUUCCAGCUCCAAUAGCGUAUAUUAAAGUUGUUGCAGUUAAAAGCUCGUAGUUGAAUUUCGGGAUUAAUUUACUGGUCGUGCUAUUGUACGUACUGGUUUUAUUGAUUCCUCCCUUCUGACGAACUAUGAUGUCAUUAAUUUGGUGUCAUAGGGAAUCAGGACUGUUACUUUGAAAAAUUAGAGUGUUUAAAGCAGGCUCACGCUUGAAUACAUUAGCAUGGAAUAACGGAAUAGGACGUUUGAUUCUAUUUUGUUGGUUUCUAGGAUCGACGUAAUGAUUAAUAGGGAUAGUUGGGGGCAUUAGUAUUCAAUUGUCAGAGGUGAAAAUUCUUGGAUUUAUUGAAGACUAACUACUGCGAAAAGCAUUUGCCAAGGAUGUUUUCAUUAAUCAAGAACGAAGUUAGGGGGAUCGAAGACGAUCAGAUACCGUCGUAGUCUUAACCGUAAAACUAUGCCGACUAGGGAUCGGACGAUGUUAAUUUUUAAUGACUCAUUCGGCUGCCUUA
rnacentral:rRNA from 1 species